rnacentral:rRNA from 1 species
UCAAGAGAACGUGAAAUCGCUGGAGUGGAACCGGAGAGAGUUGACGUAACCGGGUAACUAAGUUUCCUAAUGUCGCUUAAUUGUGGCUACAGGUGAUGUAUGUUGCCUAUGGUUGCGCUGACAGCACUGGCUGUGCGUUCUGACCCGUUUGUGUUGCCCACCGUCACCGGUGGUGUCUUGCUUACGGUUAGGUCUGUCAUGGCUAGUGUUUUAUCCUGCAUGCAGGGUGUCAGUGUGAAAGUCGACCACCUCUCCGA